AUUGAACGCUGGCGGCAGGCCUAACACAUGCAAGUCGAGCGGAUGACGGGAGCUUGCUCCUUGAUUCAGCGGCGGACGGGUGAGUAAUGCCUAGGAAUCUGCCUGGUAGUGGGGGACAACGUUUCGAAAGGAACGCUAAUACCGCAUACGUCCUACGGGAGAAAGCAGGGGACCUUCGGGCCUCGCGCUAUCAGAUGAGCCUAGGUCGGAUUAGCUAGUUGGUGGGGUAAUGGCUCACCAAGGCGACGAUCCGUAACUGGUCUGAGAGGAUGAUCAGUCACACUGGAACUGAGACACGGUCCAGACUCCUACGGGAGGCAGCAGUGGGGAAUAUUGGACAAUGGGCGAAAGCCUGAUCCAGCCAUGCCGCGUGUGUGAAGAAGGUCUUCGGAUUGUAAAGCACUUUAAGUUGGGAGGAAGGGCAGUAAGUUAAUACCUUGCUGUUUUGACGUUACCGACAGAAUGAGCACCGGCUAACUCUGUGCCAGCCGCCGCAGUAAGAC
rnacentral:rRNA from 1 species